GGAAUGAUGGGAAUUUAAACCUCUUCCAGAGUAUCAAUUGGAGGGCAAGUCUGGUGCCAGCAGCCGCGGUAAUUCCAGCUCCAAUAGCGUAUAUUAAAAUUGUUGCAGUUAAAAAGCUCGUAGUUGAAUUUCUGCUGCAUCGUCGCAUCUCUUGCUGAGUGCUUCGUUUCGGCUUAUUUCGGAUUGAUUUUUUCUUUCCGGAUGAUUACUUUGAGAAAAUUAGAGUGCUCAAAGCAGGCUUUUGCCUUGAAUAGUUUAGCAUGGAAUAAUAAAGUAGGACUUUGGUUCUAUUUUGUUGGUUUUAGGUACCAAAGUAAUGGUUAAUAGGAACAGUUGGGGGCAUUCGUAUUUAACUGUCAGAGGUGAAAUUCUUAGAUUUGUUAAAGACGAACUACUGCGAAAGCAUUUGCCAAGGAUGUUUUCAUUAAUCAAGAACGAAAGUUAGGGGAUCGAAGACGAUCAGAUACCGUCGUAGUCCUACCC
rnacentral:rRNA from 1 species